rnacentral:misc_RNA from 1 species
AAAAAACAUAGAAUCGUUCUUGGUCUUUACCGAGAACGAGGAGACGGGACCCCCUCUAGGGACCUCGCGUUAACGUAUGCACGGUGUACGUUCUCUCUUGUUGCAAAAUUGCAAGAGAUAGAGGUUGUCGGCCUGACAUUACAGGUCGUUAACCUUGAGAGGGGGGACCAGAUACCAUUCAUUUUCCAACCCUGUGCACAUACUAUUCUUUUUCACACCUUUUAUAACUCGUAAUAGUUGUAGAAUGUAAUCAGUCUCUUAAUUGAGCAUAAAAUAUAGUCA